ACGGGAGGCAGCAGUGAGGAAUAUUGGUCAAUGGGCGGAAGCCUGAACCAGCCAAGUCGCGUGAAGGAAGAAGGUAUUAUGUAUUGUAAACUUCUUUAGCAGCAGAGAAAUAAGGUGGACGUGUCCACUGAUGCUAGUAUGCUGAGAAUAAGCAUCGGCUAACUCCGUGCCAGCAGCCGCGGUAAUACGGAGGAUGCGAGCGUUAUCCGGAUUUAUUGGGUUUAAAGGGUGCGCAGGCGGUCUUUUAAGUCAGUGGUCAAAUCGUGGUGCUCAACGCCAUCCCGCCAUUGAUACUGGGAGACUUGAUUGCGGUUGAGGUAGGCGGAAUUCGUCGUGUAGCGGUGAAAUGCAUAGAUAUGACGAAGAACACCGAUUGCGUAGGCAGCUUACCAAGCCGUAAAUGACGCUCAUGCACGAAAGUGCGGGGAUCGAACAGGAUUAGAUACCCUGGUA
rnacentral:rRNA from 1 species